rnacentral:rRNA from 1 species
GACGUAGGGCGCGAGCGUUGUCCGGAUUUAUUGGGCGUAAAGAGCUCGUAGGCGGCUUGUCGCGUCGUCCGUGAAAACCAGGGGCUCAACCCCUGGCUUGCGGUCGAUACGGGCAGGCUAGAGUUCGGUAGGGGAGACUGGAAUUCCUGGUGUAGCGGUGAAAUGCGCAGAUAUCAGGAAGAACACCCGUGGCGAAGGCGGCUCUCUGGGACGGUACUGACGCUGAGACGCGAAAGCGUGGGGAGCGAACAGG